rnacentral:misc_RNA from 1 species
GUAUGUAGUAUAUUUUCUUGUCACAUGGCCGUACAUAUGUUAACUUUCAAAUAUGUUCAGAUAACCGUUAAGAUUUAUUUGCGUAUAUAAGAGAAUAAUAUAAAAUAUGAAGAAACAAUGAAUAAAAUUUCAUAUUUUUUGUGUUGUGGAAUUAUUUCAUGAAUCAAGGUUUCAAUAUUUUAAGUUCCACUACAUAAGUUUGUAAUUCAGUUGAUUAGGUUAUUUUUUCAAAUGGAAGAAGCGGCGAUUAAUUCGCCAAAUUCACGUCUAAACGAUGACCAAAUUAAUGAAACAGACGACGAAAAUUCUCGUAUAAAUUAUAAUGACUCAGGAAAUGAACAUGAAAUUCUAUAUGGGGAAUGUACGCCGCAACAGGUAUCAACAAGCAGACAAAUCAAUAAUUCUAUUUUUAAUACUAUAUCUAAAAUUGUUAAUCCCACAGCAAAGGUACCAGAAAUUCAAGAUUUUAAAAUUGUGAAACCAAUAAGUCGUGGUGCAUUUGGCAAAGUUUUUCUUGGACAUAAAAAAUCAAAUCCUGAGAAAGUAUAUGCUAUUAAAGUAAUGAAAAAAAAUGAGAUGAUAAAUAAAAAUAUGGCUUCACAAGUGAUCAUUGAAAGAAAUGCUUUAGCUUUGACACGUAGUCCAUAUUGUGUACAAUUAUUUUAUUCAUUACAAUCUGCUAGUAGUGUUUAUUUAGUAAUGGAGUACAUGGUUGGUGGAGAUCUUAAAAGCUUGCUUGGUGUAUAUGGUUAUAUGGAAGAGUCUAUGGCAGCUUUUUAUACUGCAGAAGUAUGUCUUGCUUUAGAAUAUCUUCAUUCUCAUGGAAUUGUACAUAGGGAUUUAAAACCAGAUAAUAUGCUUUUGUCAAAAGAAGGACAUGUCAAGUUGACAGAUUUUGGGCUUAGUAAUAUAUCUUUGCAUAGAGAUCUUGAAAUAUCAGAUUUAGUUAAUUGUACGCCCAGUCUUUGUACUAGAACUCCUGGACAACUUCUUUCUUUGACAUCACAUUUAUCUUUUGGCUCUGGACAAAGAUCGACAAGUGAAUCUAAUCUUAGUGACAAAAGUACACUUGGUAUUAAUUUACUUCCUGCUUUACAACAAAAUUCAACUAAAUUUCAAUCUUCACCAAAUUCGAUAAUUUCAUCUGCUGCAUCAGGAGAUUAUUCCCGAGUAUCUGGUAUUACCCCUUUUCAAUCUGCAGAAGAUCUUCAUUUAACGGAACGUUUGGAACAUAUUAUUGUUGAAAAAAAAAAUGAAGAUGAUGAAAGUAGCUCUGGAAGUUAUCAUACAUGUGAGGCAUCUUCAGUUCGCAUUAAUAAUCAACUUAAUCAAAAUUUAGAAGAGGAGGACGAAUCUACAUUAGAAGCAGAUCAAUCUCAACAACUUCUUCCUCAUACUAGUCCGUUAAGUACAUGUACAAAUACGUUUACCAGAGGUGCGAAACGAAAAAGAGCAACAGGAGGAACAACUGGUUUAACGUGUGAAUUAAGUAUAAUGGAUUUGGAUGUUGAUAAAACACCAAAAAGAAAAAAUCGUGGUUGUAUAUUUUCUAGAAGUCCAAUAAAUUCCGUUAUUUCUGAAUCAGUAAAACAAACGAACAAUACUAAUGAUACAGGUAUGGUACAAGAAAGUGGAUCUAGUGGAAGAGUUGCAUUUAGUACACCAGUAUCAUUCACGAAACAGAGAUGCUAUAGUGAAGAAGAUGCAGAAACAUGCGAAGAAGAAACAGUACGUUUGAUUAAAACGACAAGAUUUCAACUUCCACCAGUUCUUACAUCACAUUCAGCCCCUGAGAUACCUAUAGGUGAUAAUUCUGAGAAACAUCGAUCGCCUCAAGUUAUAUCUCCCAUAAAAACACCUGCAACUUCUGGCAAUUGUUACACACCUUACAGAACUCCGAAAUCGAUAUUCCUUGGCCAGAGGAAGAAGAAGCUCUGUCAACAGUUGCUGUGGAAGCCAUAGAUGCACUUCUUACUUUAGAUCAAUAUGAGCGUCCUUCUGCACAAGAAGUGCGAGUCAUGAAACUUUUUCAACACUUCCCUUGGAACGAACCGCUAAAAGCGAUGCCACCUUUUAUACCACAACCUGACGAUAAUUACGAUACAUGUUACUUUCAAGCACGAAACAUUAUGCAACAUUUAAACGUGAGCAGCUGUGAAACAUAAAAAUCAUAUUGAUGGAAAAAUAGAUAUCAAUUUACAGUUUAUUUUAUGACUGAAGUAACAUUAUGCAACAUUUAAAUGUGAGCAACUGUAAUACAUAAUCUUCAAAAGAAGAUCAUUUCAAUGCAAUAAGGAAAUAUCAACAUAUGGAUUGCUUUAUGACAGGAAUAAUAUAACAUUAAAAUUGUAUAAACUAUUUUUUAUAUAGUUGUAUAUGUAUAGUAUUAUAAAAUAUUUUGUUACAAUUUAAAA